GAUGAACGCUGGCGGCGUGCCUAAUACAUGCAAGUCGAGCGAACAGACGAGGAGCUUGCUCCUCUGACGUUAGCGGCGGACGGGUGAGUAACACGUGGAUAACCUACCUAUAAGACUGGGAUAACUUCGGGAAACCGGAGCUAAUACCGGAUAAUAUAUUGAACCGCAUGGUUCAAUAGUGAAAGACGGUUUUGCUGUCACUUAUAGAUGGAUCCGCGCCGCAUUAGCUAGUUGGUAAGGUAACGGCUUACCAAGGCAACGAUGCGUAGCCGACCUGAGAGGGGGGUCGGCCCAACCGGAACUGGAGACAGGUCCAGGCUCCUAAGGGAGGGAGGAGUAGGGAAUUCUCCGGAAUGGGCGGAAGCCUGACGGAGCAAAGCCGCGUGAGUGAUGAAGGGCUUCGGAUCGUAAAACUCUGUUAAUAGGGAAAAACAAAUGUGUAAGUAAAUAUGCACGGCUUGACGGUAACUAAUCAGAAAGCCACGGCUAACUACGUG
rnacentral:rRNA from 1 species